UACAGAGGGGGCAAGCGUUGUUCGGAAUUAUUGGGCGUAAAGGGCGCGUAGGCGGCGCGGUAAGUCACUUGUGAAAUCUCUGAGCUUAACUCAGAACGGCCAAGUGAUACUGCAGUGCUAGAGUGUAGAAGGGGCAAUCGGAAUUCUUGGUGUAGCGGUGAAAUGCGUAGAUAUCAAGAGGAACACCUGAGGUGAAGACGGGUUGCUGGUCUAACACUGACGCUGAGGCGCGAAAGCCAGGGGAGCAAACGGG
rnacentral:rRNA from 1 species